rnacentral:rRNA from 1 species
GACGAACGCUGGCGGCGUGCUUAACACAUGCAAGUCGAACGGAAAGGCCCUGCUUUUGUGGGGUGCUCGAGUGGCGAACGGGUGAGUAACACGUGAGUAACCUGCCCUUGACUUUGGGAUAACUUCAGGAAACUGGGGCUAAUACCGGAUAGGAGCUCCUGCUGCAUGGUGGGGGUUGGAAAGUUUCGGCGGUUGGGGAUGGACUCGCGGCUUAUCAGCUUGUUGGUGGGGUAGUGGCUUACCAAGGCUUUGACGGGUAGCCGGCCUGAGAGGGUGACCGGCAAAAUUGGGACUGAGAUACGGCCCAGCCUCCUACGGGAGGCAGCAGUGGGGAAUAUUGAACAAUGGGCGGAAGCCUGAUGCAGCAACGCCGCGUGCGGGAUGACGGCCUUCGGGUUGUAAACCGCUUUCGCCUGUGACGAAGCGUGAGUGACGGUAAUGGGUAAAGAAGCACCGGCUAACUACGU